GUUAAGACGCGGGAUUGGAAGCUGUUCUUGAUCCUGGCGCACCGUGUCCAGAGCCAGUAUAAAGCUCGCCAUCAAGUUUACAUGGUCGUAUAGAAGUUGGGCUCUCUGUCGUGCAGAAGGUGUGAAUUGACUAAUGUCCGGUAGAACGUCCAACUCGCACUCGACAUUCAAAUACUCCUCCUCGCCAAAGUACCGGUCGCUUUUCUGUAAGAUGGAAGCAUGGAACAUGGCGUCAGCAUUACUGAAGCAAAGGAAGUGUUCCAUUCCCGGGAGGAGUAGCGGCUCGUCCAGUUGAUCCACGAAACCAUCAGAGCUGGGGCCCGUCGUCAGGAGCGCCUUGUCCACGGCGUGAAUCAGACAUAACGGCUCGGCGGAGUCUGCUCUCAUCCUGGUGGUCAGCAUAGCGCCCAGCCCAACGCUGGGCGUCGUCGCCGGCAUUGUGAGGGGAUCGUCAUCGAUUAGAUUGGGAAUAGGAGUGGCUGGUAUGGACGUGGACAAACCUACAACUGUUGCCAGUCGACAUCCCCCCCCCAAAAAAGGAGAGAAAAAUGUAGAAUAAUCAGCAAAUGUUGAGCUUUGUCUGGCAGCAACACGUAACGGUGUUGAGUGCAUUUCAAAUCUCUUUCCAAAAUCAGAACUCAAUGGGCUAAAGUAUGUCUCAAAAUAAUAAUAAUAUAAGUGAAAAGCACUCAAUUAUUAAUGUAACUCACCCAAGAUGAAUACUGCAAAAUACAUUCUGUAUACAAGCAAGUUGUCCUUUAACUCAGGGUAUCUUUUCAUUGAAAUAAAUAAAAGGUCGUGAUUUUUGUCUCUUUCUUGUUGCUGUCAAGUCUUCAAUCUGAGAGCACGGUCAUCAUCUCUGUCCUUUAU